AUUGAACGCUGGCGGCAGGCCUAACACAUGCAAGUCGAACGAGUGGCGGACGGGUGAGUAAUGUCUGGGAAACUGCCUGAUGGAGGGGGAUAACUACUGGGAACGGUAGCUACUACCGCCUAACGUCAGAAGUUCCCAGAUGGGAUUAGCUAGUUGGUGGGGUAACGGCUCACCAAGGCGACGAUCCCUCGCUGGUCUGAGAGGAUGACCAGUCACACUGGAACUGAGACACGGUCCAGACUCCUACGGGAGGCAGCAGUGGGGAAUAUUGCACAAUGGGCGCAAGCCUGAUGCAGCCAUGCCGCGUGUAUGAAGAAGGCCUUCGGGUUGUAAAGUACUUUAAGCUGGGAGGCGUUACCCGCAGAAGAAGCACCGGCUAACUCCGUGCCAGCCGCCGCGGUAAUUC
rnacentral:rRNA from 1 species